rnacentral:rRNA from 1 species
GACGAACGCUGGCGGCGUGCUUAACACAUGCAAGUCGAGCGGUAAGGCCCUUUUGGGGGUACACGAGCGGCGAACGGGUGAGUAACACGUGGGUGACCUGCCCUCAGCUCUGGGAUAAGCCUGGGAAACUGGGUCUAAUACUGGAUAUGACCUUUCCUCGCAUGGGGUUGGGUGGAAAGUUUUUCGGCUGGGGAUGGGCCCGCGGCCUAUCAGCUUGUUGGUGGGGUGAUGGCCUACCAAGGCGACGACGGGUAGCCGGCCUGAGAGGGCGACCGGCCACACUGGGACUGAGACACGGCCCAGACUCCUACGGGAGGCAGCAGUGGGAAUAUUGCGCAAUGGGCGGAAGCCUGACGCAGCGACGCCGCGGUGGGGAU